rnacentral:lncRNA from 1 species
GACAACAUGGAAAUUAAGACCAUCAAAUUAGAUAUUUUCCUAUUCAGUACUCGAGCCUUUAUAUGGAAGGAGAGUAUUAACCUUGUACAUUCAGUUUUAUUUAGAUAUCAAAAUUAGAGCAGUGUAAUUGUGUUGGCUGUUAUGCUGGAAAUCAAACAAAGUGAUCGAUUAUUUUAUCACCAACUGCCCUACUUUUCCUCUCUUAAACAUGUUUCAACUUCCCUU